CUGAGCAAGAUGGAGAAGCAGGGCACGUGCAUUACUAGCUCAUCUCGUUUGCAUAUAGAUACACCCUCACCACAAAUGCGUGUAUAUGUGCAGAGAUAUAGAUAUAUAUAUAUGUGUGUGUGGAGUGUGAUGAUAUAAAUGAGUUAGUUCUUCAUGUGCCCAUCUUCACCAUCAUGACCAC
rnacentral:pre_miRNA from 1 species